UAGGGAAUCUUCGGCAAUGGGGGCAACCCUGACCGAGCAACGCCGCGUGAGUGAAGAAGGUUUUCGGAUCGUAAAGCUCUGUUGUAAGUCAAGAACGAGUGUGAGAGUGGAAAGUUCACACUGUGACGGUAGCUUACCAGAAAGGGACGGCUAACUACGUGCCAGCAGCCGCGGUAAUACGUAGGUCCCGAGCGUUGUCCGGAUUUAUUGGGCGCAAAGCGAGCGCAGGCGGUUUGAUAAGUCUGAAGUUAAAGGCUGUGGCUCAACCAUAGUUCGCUUUGGAAACUGUCAAACUUGAGUGCAGAAGGGGAGAGUGGAAUUCCAUGUGUAGCGGUGAAAUGCGUAGAUAUAUGGAGGAACACCGGUGGCGAAAGCGGCUCUCUGGUCUGUAACUGACGCUGAGGCUCGAAAGCGUGGGGAGCGAACAGGAUUAGAUACCCUGGUAGUCCACGCCGUNNCGAUGAGUGCUAGGUGUUGGAUCCUUUCCGGGAUUCAGUGCCGCAGCUAACGCAUUAAGCACUCCGCCUGGGGAGUACGACCGCAAGGNU
rnacentral:rRNA from 1 species